UCAACGGAUAAAAGGUACCCCGGGGAUAACAGGCUGAUCAUUCCCAAGAGUCCAUAUCGACGGGAUGGUUUGGCACCUCGAUGUCGGCUCGUCGCAUCCUGGGGCUGGAGCAGGUCCCAAGGGUUCGGCUGUUCGCCGAUUAAAGCGGCACGCGAGCUGGGUUCAGAACGUCGUGAGACAGUUUGGUCUCUAUCCUCUGCGCUCGUUGGAAUGCUGAGGAGGCCUGCCCAUAGUACGAGAGGACCUGGGUGGACGAACCUCUGGUAUGCCGGUUGUCACGCCAGUGGCACGGCCGGUUGGCUACGUUCGGAAGGGAUAACCGCUGAAAGCAUCUAAGCGGGAAGCCUGCUCCAAGAUAAGCAUUCCGUGGAACCUUCGAGUUCCUGUAGUCCCCAUGCAGAACACGUGGUCGAUAGGCCGGACGUGGAAGCCCCGCGAGGGGUGGAGCCGACCGGUACUAACGGACGAAAGGCAACACUAA
rnacentral:rRNA from 1 species